rnacentral:rRNA from 1 species
GGAGGAAAGUAGGGGAUCGCAAGACCUUGCGCUUUUUGAGCGGCCGAUGCCUGAUUAGCUAGUUGGUAAGGUAAUGGCUUACCAAGGCAACGAUCAGUAGCUGGUCUGAGAGGACGACCAGCCACACUGGGACUGAGACACGGCCCAGACUCCUACGGGAGGCAGCAGUGGGGAAUUUUGGACAAUGGGCGAAAGCCUGAUCCAGCCAUGCCGCGUGAGUGAAGAAGGCCUUCGGGUUGUAAAGCUCUUUCGGUCGGGAAGAAAUAGUUGUGGCUAAUAUCCACAAUGAAUGACGGUACCGACAUAAGAAGCACCGGCUAACUACGUGCCAGCAGCCGCGGUAAUACGUAGGGUGCAAGCGUUAAUCGGAAUUAUUGGGCGUAAAGGGUGCGCAGGCGGCUGUAUAAGUCAGAUGUGAAAUCCCUGGGCUUAACCUAGGAAUUGCGUUUGAAACUACAAAGCUAG